rnacentral:rRNA from 1 species
AGCGAACGCUGGCGGCAGGCUUAACACAUGCAAGUCGAACGGGCUUCUUCGGAAGUCAGUGGCAGACGGGUGAGUAACACGUGGGAACGUGCCCUUCGGUUCGGAAUAACUCAGGGAAACUUGAGCUAAUACCGGAUACGCCCUUAUGGGGAAAGGUUUACUGCCGAAGGAUCGGCCCGCGUCUGAUUAGCUUGUUGGUGGGGUAACGGCCUACCAAGGCGACGAUCAGUAGCUGGUCUGAGAGGAUGAUCAGCCACACUGGGACUGAGACACGGCCCAGACUCCUACGGGAGGCAGCAGUGGGGAAUAUUGGACAAUGGGCGCAAGCCUGAUCCAGCCAUGCCGCGUGAGUGAUGAAGGCCUUAGGGUUGUAAAGCUCUUUUGUCCGGGACGAUAAUGACGGUACCGGAAGAAUAAGCCCCGGCUAACUUCGUGCCAGCAGCCGCCGUAAAAC